CACUAUCGUUAACUGAAUACAUAGGUUAACGAGGCGAACCGGGGGAACUGAAACAUCUAAGUACCCCGAGGAAAAGAAAUCAACCGAGAUUCCCCCAGUAGCGGCGAGCGAACGGGGAGCAGCCCAGAGUCUGAAUCAGCUUGUGUGUUAGUGGAACGGUCUGGAAAGUCCGACGGUACAGGGUGAUAGUCCCGUACACCAAAAUGCACAGGUUGUGAACUCGAAGAGUAGGGCGGGACACGUGGUAUCCUGUCUGAAUAUGGGGGGACCAUCCUCCAAGGCUAAAUACUCCUGACUGACCGAUAGUGAACCAGUACCGUGAGGGAAAGGCGAAAAGAACCCCGGCGAGGGGAGUGAAAAAGAACCUGAAACCGUGUACGUACAAGCAGUGGGAGCACCUUCGGGUGUGACUGCGUACCUUUUGUAUAAUGGGUCAGCGACUUAUAUUCUGUAGCAAGGUUAACCGUAUAGGGGAGCCGCAGGGAAACCGAGUCUUAACUGGGCGUUAAGUUGCAGGGUAUAGACCCGAAACCCGGUGAUCUAGCCAUGGGCAGGUUGAAGGUUGGGUAACACUAACUGGAGGACCGAACCGACUAAUGUUGAAAAAUUAGCGGAUGACUUGUGGCUGGGGGUGAAAGGCCAAUCAAACCGGGAGAUAGCUGGUUCUCCCCGAAAGCUAUUUAGGUAGCGCCUCGUGAAUUCAUCUUCGGGGGUAGAGCACUGUUUCGGCUAGGGGGUCAUCCCGACUUACCAACCCGAUGCAAACUACGAAUACCGAAGAAUGUUAUCACGGGAGACACACGGCGGGUGCUAACGUCCGUCGUGAAGAGGGAAACAACCCAGACCGCCAGCUAAGGUCCCAAAGUCAUGGUUAAGUGGGAAACGAUGUGGGAAGGCACAGACAGCCAGGAUGUUGGCUUAGAAGCAGCCAUCAUUUAAAGAAAGCGUAAUAGCUCACUGGUCGAGUCGGCCUGCGCGGAAGAUGUAACGGGGCUAAACCAUGCACCGAAGCUGCGGCAGCGACACUAUGUGUUGUUGGGUAGGGGAGCGUUCUGUAAGCCUGCGAAGGUGUGCUGUGAGGCAUGCUGGAGGUAUCAGAAGUGCGAAUGCUGACAUAAGUAACGAUAAAGCGGGUGAAAAGCCCGCUCGCCGGAAGACCAAGGGUUCCUGUCCAACGUUAAUCGGGGCAGGGUGAGUCGACCCCUAAGGCGAGGCCGAAAGGCGUAGUCGAUGGGAAACAGGUUAAUAUUCCUGUACUUGGUGUUACUGCGAAGGGGGGACGGAGAAGGCUAUGUUAGCCGGGCGACGGUUGUCCCGGUUUAAGCAUGUAGGCUGGUUAUCCAGGCAAAUCCGGAUAAUCAAGGCUGAGGUGUGAUGACGAGGCACUACGGUGCUGAAGUAACAAAUGCCCUGCUUCCAGGAAAAGCCUCUAAGCAUCAGGUAACAUCAAAUCGUACCCCAAACCGACACAGGUGGUCAGGUAGAGAAUACCAAGGCGCUUGAGAGAACUCGGGUGAAGGAACUAGGCAAAAUGGUGCCGUAACUUCGGGAGAAGGCACGCUGGUGUGUAGGUGAAGUCCCUGCGGAUGGAGCUGAGACCAGUCGAAGAUACCAGCUGGCUGCAACUGUUUAUUAAAAACACAGCACUGUGCAAACACGAAAGUGGACGUAUACGGUGUGACGCCUGCCCGGUGCCGGAAGGUUAAUUGAUGGGGUUAUCCGUAAGGAGAAGCUCUUGAUCGAAGCCCCGGUAAACGGCGGCCGUAACUAUAACGGUCCUAAGGUAGCGAAAUUCCUUGUCGGGUAAGUUCCGACCUGCACGAAUGGCGUAAUGAUGGCCAGGCUGUCUCCACCCGAGACUCAGUGAAAUUGAACUCGCUGUGAAGAUGCAGUGUACCCGCGGCAAGACGGAAAGACCCCGUGAACCUUUACUAUAGCUUGACACUGAACAUUGAGCCUUGAUGUGUAGGAUAGGUGGGAGGCUUUGAAGCGUGGACGCCAGUCUGCGUGGAGCCAACCUUGAAAUACCACCCUUUAAUGUUUGAUGUUCUAACGUUGGCCCCUGACCGGGGUUGCGGACAGUGUCUGGUGGGUAGUUUGACUGGGGCGGUCUCCUCCCAAAGCGUAACGGAGGAGCACGAAGGUUAGCUAAUCCUGGUCGGACAUCAGGAGGUUAGUGCAAUGGCAUAAGCUAGCUUGACUGCGAGCGUGACGGCGCGAGCAGGUGCGAAAGCAGGUCAUAGUGAUCCGGUGGUUCUGAAUGGAAGGGCCAUCGCUCAACGGAUAAAAGGUACUCCGGGGAUAACAGGCUGAUACCGCCCAAGAGUUCAUAUCGACGGCGGUGUUUGGCACCUCGAUGUCGGCUCAUCACAUCCUGGGGCUGAAGUAGGUCCCAAGGGUAUGGCUGUUCGCCAUUUAAAGUGGUACGCGAGCUGGGUUUAGAACGUCGUGAGACAGUUCGGUCCCUAUCUGCCGUGGGCGCUGGAGAAUUGAGGGGGGCUGCUCCUAGUACGAGAGGACCGGAGUGGACGCAUCACUGGUGUUCGGGUUGUCAUGCCAAUGGCACUGCCCGGUAGCUAAAUGCGGAAGAGAUAAGUGCUGAAAGCAUCUAAGCACGAAACUUGCCCCGAGAUGAGUUCUCCCUGAGACUUUAAGUCUCCUGAAGGAACGUUAAAGACGAUGACGUUGAUAGGCCGGGUGUGUAAGCGCAGCGAUGCGUUGAGCUAACCGGUACUAAUGAACCGUGAGGCUUAACCUU
rnacentral:rRNA from 1 species